GAUACCCUGGUAGUCCACGCCGUAAACGAUGUCGACUUGGAGGUUGUUCCCUUGAGGAGUGGCUUCCGGAGCUAACGCGUUAAGUCGACCGCCUGGGGAGUACGGCCGCAAGGUUAAAACUCAAAUGAAUUGACGGGGGCCCGCACAAGCGGUGGAGCAUGUGGUUUAAUUCGAUGCAACGCGAAGAACCUUACCUACUCUUGACAUCCAGAGAAUUUNGCAGAGAUGCUUUGGUGCCUUCGGGAACCCUGAGACAGGUGCUGCAUGGCUGUCGUCAGCUCGUGUUGUGAAAUGUUGGGUUAAGUCCCGCAACGAGCGCAACCCUUAUCCUUUGUUGCCAGCGCGUGAUGGCGGGAACUCAAAGGAGACUGCCGGUGAUAAACCGGAGGAAGGUGGGGAUGACGUCAAGUCAUCAUGGCCCUUACGAGUAGGGCUACACACGUGCUACAAUGGCGCAUACAAAGAGAAGCGACCUCGCGAGAGCAAGCGGACCUCACAAAGUGCGUCGUAGUCCGGAUCGGAGUCUGCAACUCGACUCCGUGAAGUCGGAAUCGCUAGUAAUCGUGGAUCAGAAUGCCACGGUGAAUACGUUCCCGGGCCUUGUACACACCGCCCGUCACACCAUGGGAGUGGGUUGCAAAAGAAGUAGGUAGCUUAACCUUCGGGAGGGCGCUUACCACUUUGUGAUUCAUGACUGGGGUGAAGUCGUAACAAGGUA
rnacentral:rRNA from 1 species